rnacentral:rRNA from 1 species
GAUGAACGCUGGCGGCGUGCCUAAUACAUGCAAGUCGAGCGAACGGACGAGAAGCUUGCUUCUCUGAUGUUAGCGGCGGACGGGUGAGUAACACGUGGAUAACCUACCUAUAAGACUGGGAUAACUUCGGGAAACCGGAGCUAAUACCGGAUAAUAUUUUGAACCGCAUGGUUCAAAAGUGAAAGACGGUCUUGCUGUCACUUAUAGAUGGAUCCGCGCUGCAUUAGCUAGUUGGUAAGGUAACGGCUUACCAAGGCACCGAUGCAUAGCCGACCUGAGAGGGUGAUCGGCCACACUGGAACUGAGACACGGUCCAGACUCCUACGGGAGGCAGCAGUAGGGAAUCUUCCGCAAUGGGCGAAAGCCUGACGGAGCAACGCCGCGUGAGUGAUGAAGGUCUUCGGAUCGUAAAACUCUGUUAUUAGGGAAGAACAUAUGUGUAAGUAACUGUGCACAUCUUGACGGUACCUAAUCAGAAAGCCACGGCUAACUACGUGCCAGCAGCCGCGGUAAUACGUAGGUGGCAAGCGUUAUCCGGAAUUAUUGGGCGUAAAGCGCGCGUAGGCGGUUUUUUAAGUCUGAUGUGAAAGCCCACGGCUCAACCGUGGAGGGUCAUUGGAAACUGGAAAACUUGAGUGCAGAAGAGGAAAGUGGAAUUCCAUGUGUAGCGGUGAAAUGCGCAGAGAUAUGGAGGAACACCAGUGGCGAAGGCGACUUUCUGGUCUGUAACUGACGCUGAUGUGCGAAAGCGUGGGGAUCAAACAGGAUUAGAUACCCUGGUAGUCCACGCCGUAAACGAUGAGUGCUAAGUGUUAGGGGGUUUCCGCCCCUUAGUGCUGCAGCUAACGCAUUAAGCACUCCGCCUGGGGAGUACGACCGCAAGGUUGAAACUCAAAGGAAUUGACGGGGACCCGCACAAGCGGUGGAGCAUGUGGUUUAAUUCGAAGCAACGCGAAGAACCUUACCAAAUCUUGACAUCCUUUGACAACUCUAGAGAUAGAGCUUUCCCCUUCGGGGGACAAAGUGACAGGUGGUGCAUGGUUGUCGUCAGCUCGUGUCGUGAGAUGUUGGGUUAAGUCCCGCAACGAGCGCAACCCUUAAGCUUAGUUGCCAUCAUUAAGUUGGGCACUCUAAGUUGACUGCCGGUGACAAACCGGAGGAAGGUGGGGAUGACGUCAAAUCAUCAUGCCCCUUAUGAUUUGGGCUACACACGUGCUACAAUGGACAAUACAAAGGGCAGCGAAACCGCGAGGUCAAGCAAAUCCCAUAAAGUUGUUCUCAGUUCGGAUUGUAGUCUGCAACUCGACUACAUGAAGCUGGAAUCGCUAGUAAUCGUAGAUCAGCAUGCUACGGUGAAUACGUUCCCGGGUCU